rnacentral:rRNA from 1 species
UACGUAGGGUGCAAGCGUUGUCCGGAAUUAUUGGGCGUAAAGAGCUCGUAGGCGGUCUGUCGCGUCGGCUGUGAAAACUCGGGGCUCAACCCCGGGCCUGCAGUCGAUACGGGCAGACUAGAGUGCGGUAGGGGAGACUGGAAUUCCUGGUGUAGCGGUGAAAUGCGCAGAUAUCAGGAGGAACACCGGUGGCGAAGGCGGGUCUCUGGGCCGUAACUGACGCUGAGGAGCGAAAGCGUGGGGAGCGAACAGG